CAAUAGCGUAUAUUAAAGUUGUUGCAGUUAAAAAGCUCGUAGUUGGAUUUCGGGACGGGCCAGUUGGUCCGCCGCAAGGUGUGUUACUGACUGGUCUGUUCUUCUUCGCAAAGACUGCGUGUGCUCUUCGUUGAGUGUGCGUAGGAUUUACGACGUUUACUUUGAAAAAAUUAGAGUGUUCAAAGCAGGCUAUCGCUUGAAUACAUGAGCAUGGAAUAAUGGAAUAGGACUUUGGUCCUAUUUUGUUGGUUUCUAGGACCGAAGUAAUGAUUAAGAGGGACAAUUGGGGGCAUCCGUAUUUCGUUGUCAGAGGUGGAAUUCUUGGAUUUACGAAAGACGAACAACUGCGAAAGCACUUGCCAAGAGUGUUUUCAUUAA
rnacentral:rRNA from 1 species